UAUCCCUAUGAGCUUCCUAACCCCUUUUUUCCAAUCUUCAUCUUCUCUUACUCUUUCACAAAAUAAAAAAAUAAAAUAAAAACUACAAAUCUUUUGGAUCUAUGCAGUAUGGUUAAUUUCCUUUAUAUUGCAUAUUAUUUUCUGGUUUUUUAGCUAUUUUUUCUAUAUGUAUUGCUUGUGAUCUUGAAAUAUAUGUUUUUAUGAGUUUUUGUUUUUGUUAAUGUUUUUAUUUAUGUUUUAUUAGUCAAUUUCUUAGUGUAUUGAUUUAGCUUGUUUCUUCAAUAGUUAUUUCAUAUUUUUUAGCUAUAUUUUUCUAUAUUUAUUUGCUAAUAAUCGUGGAAAAUAUAUGUUUCUAUGAGUUUUUAUUAUUUAUUUAUAUAUAUAUAUAUAUGACAAUUUCUUAUUGAUUUAGCUUGUUUCUUCAAUAGAAAGAUUGUGGUCAACUUAUGAUGGAAUUUGUGAACAAAUCCAAUCUACAAAGGAAGAUUUUUAUUUUUAUUUUUUUGUUUUGCAGUCUUUAAUAGUGUAGAUUCUUCUUAAUUUAGAUCUUUACUAUUGUUACUAAGAAUAUGUAUGUACUUGGAUUUUGCUCCCUAUAAAUAGAUCUAUCCUAUGUGAAAUUGUGAAGCAUUUAUUUAGGGUUUUAUGGUCCGUUUUGUAGACGUUCAAUAAAAUUGAAAUGAUAUAGAGAAAAUAGGGUUUCUGGAUUUGAAUCGGGCUUAUCGAUCGAUCAAACAAUCAACAAACAGUUGUUGUUUGCAGAUGUAGCAUCAUCAAGAUUCAUACAUGAAAAUUAAGAGGCAAGGUUAUGUAGCUUUGAUUGAAAUGAAAAAAUAGACUAUAUCAUGGCCAUGUCUAUUUUUUUUUUAAGGUAAGAAUCUUGAUGAUGCUGCAUCAGCAAUAAACAACUAUCAAUGACAUUAGAAUUUUUAAAAUUUCUAACAUCCAAUAGUGUUUUGUAUAUGGAAGGGUUCCAAUGAAUCUACCUCCUCUAGCUCCGCUCAAACCAAUUACGAGCUGUGGAGGCAGAAUUUUCAAGGAAUUCAAUAUCUACUAUAUAUAUAACGAUAUUUGUUGAGUAUAGAUGCUUAGUUCUUUGUACCUGGAGAAACAUGAUGAAAUGGAUUUAAUUUUCAUUUAUUUUAUUUUACUGUAUUUUUCAGUACUUUAUCAAUAUUCUUGUCAGUUAUAUAUCUAUUUUUAUAUGUACUGGUUUUAAUUUUAUUUACCAUCUAUUAUUUUUUAAAAAAAUAAAAUAAAUCUAACAGGUGAAAAAUAGAUUCUUUCGUAUAUUUUGAGACUGCAGAUCUGUGGCCAGUACUGAAGUUCUGAUAGAUCAGAAGUUGUAAUUUCUCUAUCUCACACAGAUUCGGUACGAAAAAUAUAUUUACAUAAUCAGAUCGAUUAUAAGGUAUGUAAUUAUACUAAAUUUUGCUGCAAGCGCUCAUCAAUUGAUUACCUAGCUAUUAUUUGGAGUUUAUAUGUAUAAAAUUGAAGAUUUUGUGUCUGAAUUCACGAACAACUAGUUUGGUCGUUAUACUUCAAAUCAAGCCAAUAUAAAUUAAACAAGGCGUGUAACAUGUUAAAAUACAUUAAUCAUAGUAUGUAUAAUCAAUGGUUUAUACUGUCAGUAUAUAUAACUUAUAUCCAUAUAACUAUGUAUUACCAUCAAAAUGUCCUUUUUGAACCUAAGGAACUAGAAGAAGAGUGUGAAGAAGAGGUUAGUUUGAGUUGCCAAGUUUCUUUGUUUUUUUUCAAAGGCAAUAUGAAAAGAAACAAAAAAAAAAAGAUUCAAAAUAUAAUUUUAAGUAUUUCAUGGGAAAAUGAAAAAUCAUCCAAGUGAUGUUUUUGUUUGUUGAAUCAAUGAAACAUUUUAUAUGGGAACUUGCUGCUUCAUGGACUUUUGUGACUUUGAGUGUGUGCAAAAUCAUGAGUUUAGUGCAUGUCAAUUGUUAUUAUUAGGUUGGAUUUUGCCUCAAGAGUUUUUAUCAACGAUAAGAGCGGAGUCUUGGAGGAACUGAAAAAAUUAUUUCAAUAUAGCUUAUAAGUCACGACUUCUAGCUGGGAAUUCAGCAACAAAUACUUGGGUCAGGAGCAAAUGCAAUACAUGAUCCAGGCAACUUGCUAGAAAAUGACCAAGCAUGUUGCUACUAUACGAGAUGAGUAUGGAGAUGUCAGAGUGAUGGUAUGAGGCUUGAUUUAAUUUACUACCUUCACCAUUACUAAAGGUAGUAUCGACGUAUGCACACAUGUGCACGAGAAGAAGCUAACUCGGGGCUUUGGUGUCCAUAUAUACUCGAUCGUGUGAGCGAUACACAAUGAAUAUCAAAAAUUGAUAUAUCAGUACAUGGUAAUAGGUCCCGUGGAAUUUAAUUCAAAAGGGAGACCCGUUGAUCGUGGUGAAGGGUCAUGUGGAUUAACUUAAUGUGAUAGAUUAUUGAGUGCGUGAACAAAGUUCACAAUAGUAGUUGAAAAGAUUGAGAUGUUAUAUAAGUAUGAAGUAUAAUAAUACUCCUACAUGUAAUUCGCUCACUUUGGGAAGAGCAGACGAAAAGAGAAGGCAUUUGUCCUAUCUGAUUCUUCCUCUUUUCAAGAAUGAAGAAUUUUCGAUGAUGUGAGAUUUUUUGAAAAAAGAUAUACGAACUCAUCUCAAAGCAGACAAUAUCACGCAAUGACAAGUCAUGUUCUAUUAGAUUUUCAAUCAAAUCUUUUAAUCAUGUCAUUUGUGCAUGAUAUUUUUGCAUAUUAAUUUUCUCUCUAUCGUUCUAAUUUUAUUGGAUGUUCCAAAGGGACCUCAUGUCACUUGUUGACUGAUGUGUAAUUGUCACCUUUCAAUUAAAUCACCCCAAAUGCAUGAAACUUAUUCACUGA